rnacentral:lncRNA from 1 species
GACACCUAGGCAAGUGGUCCUGGGUUGUACAAGAAACAAGGCUGCCGAAGCAGUGGGGAGAAAGCCAGUAAGCUGCACUCAUCUAUAGCCUCUGCUUCAGUUCCUGCCUUCAGGUUCCUGCCCUGACCUCCCUCAGUGAUGGAGCGUGACCUCGAAGUUGUAAGCUGCAAUAAACUCCUCUCCAAGUUGCUUUUGCUUGUGCUAUUAUGCCACACUAGAAACCCGACGAACACAUCCGCACAAAGAGCUUAGGAAGACUCUAGUGCACUGAGAAAUACAGUGGGGAUUAAAAGAACAAGAGAUGCAGGUACAGCACAGAGAAGAAUGCAGUCUUCUGCGAGAGGCCAUCCUCUGCUGGCCAGAUGUGUCUCAACCUUCUGGACUAAAGGAAGGAAGGAGGGAAGGAAGGAAGAAAGAAAGCCUAGCCUUCAAAAAAGAACAUGCCAUCUUGGUCCCUUGAUCAAACCUGGAAGGAGACCUGUCGAGAUGGAGAGAACUGCCUUGGUGGUAAGGUUAGACCCACUGGCUGCUGCCCCAUUGACUGUGUAUGAGGAAGGAGGCGACAGAAUGUGUGGUUAACCAAAGGCUGGACAAUAAAAGCAUCCCUGGGGGCUGGAGAGAUGGCUCA